UGCCCCCAUCGUCUAGAGGCCUAGGACACCUCCCUUUCACGGAGAAAACGGGGAUUCGAAUUCCCCUGGGGGUAA
rnacentral:tRNA from 1 species